AAUGAACGCUGGCGGCGUGCCUAACACAUGCAAGUUGAGCGGUAAGGCCCCUUCGGGGGUACACGAGCAGCGAACGGGUGAGUAUCGCGUGGGUAAUCUACCUAGAGGUGGGGGAUAGCCUCGGGAAACCGAGGGUAAUACCGCAUGAGUCCUCAAUGACAUAAGUCGAUGAGGGGAAAGGCGGGGCUCCUUCGGGACCUGUCGCCUCUGGAUGAGCCCGCGUCCGAUUAGCUAGUUGGUGGGGUAAUGGCCUACCAAGGCAACGAUCGGUAGCCGGCCUGAGAGGGUGAACGGCCACAAUGGGACUGAGACACGGCCCAGACUCCUACGGGAGGCAGCAGUGGGGAAUUUUGGGCAAUGGGGGAAACCCUGACCCAGCGACGCCGCGUGGAGGAUGACGGCCUUCGGGUUGUAAACUCCUGUCAGGUGGGAAGAAAGGCCAGUCGGUUAAUACCCGGCAGGAAUUGACGGUACCACCAAAGGAAGCCCCGGCUAACUCCGUGCCAGCAGCCGCGGUAAUACGGAGGGGGCAAGCGUUAUUCGGAUUUACUGGGCGUAAAGCGCACGUAGGUGGCAUGGUAAGUCAAAGGUGAAAGCCCUCGGCUCAACCGAGGAAUUGCCUUUGAAACUGCUUUGCUUGAGUCCGGGAGGGGGGAGCGGAAUUCCCAGUGUAGCGGUGAAAUGCGUAGAUACUGGGAGGAACACCGGUGGCGAAGGCGGCUCCCUGGACCGGUACUGACACUGAGGUGCGAAAGCGUGGGUAGCAAACAGGAUUAGAUACCCUGGUAGUCCACGCCGUAAACGAUGGGCACUAGGUGCAGCGGGUGUCGACCCCUGCUGUGCCGUAGCUAACGCAUUAAGUGUCCCGCCUGGGGAGUACGGCCGCAAGGCUAAAACUCAAAGGAAUUGACGG
rnacentral:rRNA from 1 species